rnacentral:rRNA from 1 species
UACCCGAUGGCGGAAGCGUUGAGGUAGUGACUAGAGGUAGUAUUUGAUGGGGUUUUUAACCUUGUUUGAUGCGAUGGGGGAAAUGUAAAGUGUUUUCCGAGGAACAAUUGGAGGGCAAGUCUGGUGCCAGCAGCCGCGGUAAUUCCAGCUCCAAUAGCGUAUAUUAUAGUUGUUGCAGUUUAAGCGCUCGUAGUUUGUGAGAUCUUUAAAUGUCCGAGAGCGUUGCUCGAGGCGUAAUAUGAAGAUUAUUUGGGAAGGGGUAAGUGGGCCUUUAUUGGCUCUCUUAAACCCCCCAACCUUACCUUGAAUAAUUGACAGUGCUCAAAGCAGGCUAGUGCCUGAAUCGUAUAGCAUGGAAUAAUGCCACGUGCAUUGGUGACGCAUCCCAACCUCACCCAUCACAUUCAUAGGAUCAAGCGGGGGCAUUGAUAUUUAAUUGUCAGAGGUGAAAUUCUUGGAUCUAUGAAAGAUCAACUUUUGCGAAAGCACCUGCCAAGUGUGAUUUCGUUGAUCAAGAACGAAAGUUGGGGGAUCGAAGACGAUCAGAUACCGUCGUAGUCUUGACUGUAAACGAUGCCGGCUGUGGGAUGGGGAAGUUUUUACAUCUCCUCCAUUCCACUCGAGAAAUCAAAGCCUUUAGGCUCCGGGGGGAGUAUGGUCGCAAGGCUGAAACUUUAAGGAAUUGACGGAAGGGCACCACCAGGAGUGGAGCCUGCGGCUUAAUUUGACCCAACACGGGAAAACUCACCAGGACCAGACAUGAGUAGGAUUGACAGACUGCUAGAUUUUUCGAGAUUUUAUGGGUGGAGGUGCAUGGCCGUUUUUAGUUGGUGGAGUGAUUUGUCAUGUUAAUUCAGAUAACGAGCGAGAUGGGAGUUGGGGGUUGAUGUGGGUUAGGAGAAUUCUAAUGUGCAUGAUCUCCCAGGACAGUGCUCGCAAGAGUAAGGAAGCGACCCGCAACAACAGGUCUGUGAUGCCCUUUGAUGCUCUGGGCGGCACGCGCGCUACACUGUGGGGGGUAGAGAGAGAGUGGGUUGAGAGACCUGCUUGAACGGGAGACCCUCACGUGACGGGGCUAGACGUUUGUAAUUUUCCGUCUUUAACGAGGAAUUCCUCGUAAGCACGAGUGAUUAGGUUGUGCUGAUCGCGUCCCUGCCCUUUGUACACACCGCCCGUCGCUACUACCGAUUGGGAGGGUUGGUGAGGCUGGGGGAGGAGUUUGGGGUGAGAAUCCCGGAAGCUGAACCUAACCAAACCUGCUGUUCUAGAGGAAGUAGAAGUCGUAACAAGGUUUCCGUAGGUGAACCUGCGGAAG